rnacentral:rRNA from 2 species
UGUAUUCGACCUGAGCUCAGGCAAGGCUACCCG